rnacentral:rRNA from 1 species
AGUGAACGCUGGCGGUAGGCCUAACACAUGCAGUUCCACCGCCACACAGUUAGAGGUUUGCCUUUCGGGGGGCGAAUUGCCGACCGGUGGGGGAUACAUCCGGAUCUUCUUUUUCGUUGGGGGUUACGUUAGGGAAAUUUAGCUUAUAACCCCUACCACCUUCGGGUUGAAACCAGGGUAUUUCGGACCUUUCCCCGUUUGAAUGACCGAUGUCGGAUUUGGUAGUUGGCGGGGUAAAGGCCCACCAAGGCGACGAUCCGUAGCUGGUCUGAGAGGAUGAUCAGCCAAACGGGAACUGAGACACGGUCCAGACUCCUACGGGAGGCAGCAGUGGGGAAUAUUGGACAAUGGGCGCAAGCCUGAUCCAGCCAUACCGCGUGGGUGAAGAAGGCCUUCGGGUUGUAAAGCCCUUUUGUUGGGAAAGAAAAGCAGCAGGUUAAUACCCCGCUGUUCUGACGGUACCCAAAGAAUAAGCACCGGCUAACUUCGUG